rnacentral:rRNA from 1 species
UUGCCUACGGGGGGCAGCAGUGGGGAAUAUUGCACAAUGGGCGCAAGCCUGAUGCAGCGACGCCGCGUGGGGGAUGACGGCCUUCGGGUUGUAAACCUCUUUCAAUAGGGACGAAGCGCAAGUGACGGUACCUAUAGAAGAAGGACCGGCCAACUACGUGCCAGCAGCCGCGGUAAUACGUAGGGUCCGAGCGUUGUCCGGAAUUACUGGGCGUAAAGAGCUCGUAGGUGGUUUGUCGCGUUGUUCGUGAAAACUCACAGCUUAACUGUGGGCGUGCGGGCGAUACGGGCAGACUGGAGUACUGCAGGGGAGACUGGAAUUCCUGGUGUAGCGGUGGAAUGCGCAGAUAUCAGGAGGAACACCGGUGGCGAAGGCGGGUCUCUGGGCAGUAACUGACGCUGAGGAGCGAAAGCGUGGGGAGCGAACAGGAUUAGAUACCCUAGUAGUCA